CACAGAGACACGAAUAGAAGGAAGAUGAUGUGAAGACUCACGGAGAAGACGGCCAUCUACAAGCCAAGGAGAGAGGACUGGAACAGAUCUUUCCCUCACAGCUCCCAGAGGAAACCAA